rnacentral:lncRNA from 10 species
AAUGGCAAUUAUUAAAGAGUGAAGAAACAACAGAUGCUGGCGAGGCCGUGGAGAAAUAGGAAUGCUUUUAUACUUUUGGUGAGAGUGAAUAUUAGUUCAACCAUUGUAGAAGAUGUUGUGGUGAUUUCUCAAAGACCAAGAACCAGAAAUACCAUUCGACCCAGCAAUCCCAUUACUGGGUAUAUAACCAAAGGAAUAUAAAUCAUUCUAU